CACAAAACAAAGUGAAAUGACUGUUACGUGAAUGCCAGAAUGAGCCUCUCUGAGUAAAAGAAGAACAACUGGGGCAUGCACUACCUUACCUACCUCGAGUUUAAGGGACAUUUGCACAGAGACACUUAAAAGGGGAAUUCAGAAAGGAAACAGUGCUGAACAGAGUCUGAUGCCCAUAAAGACUACAGAGAGAAGUAGGUUGAAAACCAGCUAAGUCACUGGUGUUUCUUGCAGGAGUAGCAAGGAGGUGUUACUGUGGUAUUUAACACAUGAACAAGUAACAGCAAAGAAUGAACCGGAAUAGGCGGGGCUAAUGCUGCGAAAAUUACCUAGCGAAGCCUAUAUUUAGGAGGAAGAGAAGAAUUGGCUCUAUCUGUUUAAUCCUCAGGACAAUGAACUGUGAAGUACUUGGAAUUACAAUCGCAGAGCCCAGGGGCUGGCAGAGUGCUAUUCCCAACUCAAGAGGGUCAAGGACCCAGACACUAGAACAAGCAGACAAGAUAAUACUUGCUAGCCAUCAAAUUCCCACGAGUCAUCAAGAGGAAUAAGGGCAGAACAGAAAGUAGAGAUUCAAGGACUUCUACCGAGGAAUUGGAGAUUUGGGCGAUGGAAUGGGAAAGAAGGUCAACAUCACAACGUGAUGUCCCAGCAUCACAAGAGCAAUACAGUCUUUUGCUUUUUUAUGAGACAACUGGUGUGAGAUAUGGGAAGACGGAAAUUUCAGUGAUGAUGGAAUCUUCCACUCCACUGGGUACCACACGUGCAUUUCCAUGAGUUUCAACUGCUUCGUUCCUCCAACUAGAAACUUCCAAGUCAUCUGAGAUCCACAUGGGGAAAACGCCUUAUCCUGAGAACCAGCAGUUGACCAGAGGCUUUACACAGCUGACUGGCCUACCUGCCACAGAUGUGCCAAAGUUUUGCAAUUUGUGGUACUUCCUGUCAAUUCCUUGGUGUUCUAAUCAAUGCCUGCCUCCCCCACGUCCCUUGUCACCCUAUGGAACCAGGAAAAGAAUAAAAGUCUG
rnacentral:lncRNA from 1 species